rnacentral:rRNA from 1 species
GAGACUGCCGGCGACCCUAGUUCGACUACGGUGUUAACGAUCCUUCCUUCUUGCCAGAGCAACCAGAUGCUGGAGCCUAGGAGCCAGACGCCACCAUCGACGACAACUCCUACUACACCGGAGGUGCCUACUACUACGUGCAGGCCGCUGACGACGACCAGAAGUAGCUUAGAAGGAUCCCAGGCAGGAGGCCUGCGCCUCUUUCGAUCUGUAUCCCAGUUUGUGCUAGCCUUCUUAAGGCAAACUUGUUUAACUUAUGUCUGUACUCAGAUAUUGUUGCUUCUGCUGACUCAUCUAUGA